rnacentral:rRNA from 1 species
GGGUUGUGAGGUUAAGCGACCAAGCGUACACGGUGGAUGCCCUGGCAGUCAGAGGCGAUGAAGGACGUGCUAAUCUGCGAAAAGCGCCGGUAAGGUGAUAUGAACCGUUAUAACCGGCGAUGUCCGAAUGGGGAAACCCAGUGUGAUUCGUCACACUAUCAUUAACUGAAUCCAUAGGUUAAUGAAGCGAACCGGGGGAACUGAAACAUCUAAGUACCCCGAGGAAAAGAAAUCAACCGAGAUUCCCCCAGUAGCGGCGAGCGAACGGGGAGGAGCCCAGAGCCUGAAUCAGCAUGUGUGUUAGUGGAAGCGUCUGGAAAGGCGCGCGAUACAGGGUGACAGCCCCGUACACAAAGGCGCAUAUGCUGUGAGCUCGAUGAGUAGGGCGGGACACGUGGUAUCCUGUCUGAAUAUGGGGGGACCAUCCUCCAAGGCUAAAUACUCCUGACUGACCGAUAGUGAACCAGUACCGUGAGGGAAAGGCGAAAAGAACCCCGGCGAGGGGAGUGAAACAGAACCUGAAACCGUGUACGUACAAGCAGUGGGAGCCUCUCUUUAUGGGGGGUGACUGCGUACCUUUUGUAUAAUGGGUCAGCGACUUAUAUUCUGUAGCAAGGUUAACCGCAUAGGGGAGCCGAAGGGAAACCGAGUCUUAAUUGGGCGUUAAGUUGCAGGGUAUAGACCCGAAACCCGGUGAUCUAGCCAUGGGCAGGUUGAAGGUUGGGUAACACUAACUGGAGGACCGAACCGACUAAUGUUGAAAAAUUAGCGGAUGACCUGUGGCUGGGGGUGAAAGGCCAAUCAAACCGGGAGAUAGCUGGUUCUCCCCGAAAGCUAUUUAGGUAGCGCCUCGUGAACUCAUCUCCGGGGGUAGAGCACUGUUUCGGCUAGGGGGCCAUCCCGGCUUACCAACCCGAUGCAAACUGCGAAUACCGGAGAAUGUUAUCACGGGAGACACACGGCGGGUGCUAACGUCCGUCGUGAAGAGGGAAACAACCCAGACCGCCAGCUAAGGUCCCAAAGUCAUGGUUAAGUGGGAAACGAUGUGGGAAGGCCCAGACAGCCAGGAUGUUGGCUUAGAAGCAGCCAUCAUUUAAAGAAAGCGUAAUAGCUCACUGGUCGAGUCGGCCUGCGCGGAAGAUGUAACGGGGCUAAACCAUGCACCGAAGCUGCGGCAGCGACACUUUAGUGUUGUUGGGUAGGGGAGCGUUCUGUAAGCCGUUGAAGGUGUGUCGUGAGGCAUGCUGGAGGUAUCAGAAGUGCGAAUGCUGACAUAAGUAACGAUAAAGCGGGUGAAAAGCCCGCUCGCCGGAAGACCAAGGGUUCCUGUCCAACGUUAAUCGGGGCAGGGUGAGUCGACCCCUAAGGCGAGGCCGAAAGGCGUAGUCGAUGGGAAACGGGUUAAUAUUCCCGUACUUGGUGUUACUGCGAAGGGGGGACGGAGAAGGCUAUGUUGGCCGGGCGACGGUAGUCCCGGUUUAAGCGUGUAGGCUGGUUUUCCAGGCAAAUCCGGAAAAUCAAGGCUGAGGCGUGAUGACGAGGCACCACGGUGCUGAAGCAACAAAUGCCCUGCUUCCAGGAAAAGCCUCUAAGCAUCAGGUAACAUCAAAUCGUACCCCAAACCGACACAGGUGGUCAGGUAGAGAAUACCAAGGCGCUUGAGAGAACUCGGGUGAAGGAACUAGGCAAAAUGGUGCCGUAACUUCGGGAGAAGGCACGCUGACACGUAGGUGAAGUGAUUUACUCACGGAGCUGAAGUCAGUCGAAGAUACCAGCUGGCUGCAACUGUUUAUUAAAAACACAGCACUGUGCAAACACGAAAGUGGACGUAUACGGUGUGACGCCUGCCCGGUGCCGGAAGGUUAAUUGAUGGGGUCAGCGCAAGCGAAGCUCCUGAUCGAAGCCCCGGUAAACGGCGGCCGUAACUAUAACGGUCCUAAGGUAGCGAAAUUCCUUGUCGGGUAAGUUCCGACCUGCACGAAUGGCGUAAUGAUGGCCAGGCUGUCUCCACCCGAGACUCAGUGAAAUUGAACUCGCUGUGAAGAUGCAGUGUACCCGCGGCAAGACGGAAAGACCCCGUGAACCUUUACUAUAGCUUGACACUGAACAUUGAGCCUUGAUGUGUAGGAUAGGUGGGAGGCUUUGAAGCGUGGACGCCAGUCUGCGUGGAGCCGACCUUGAAAUACCACCCUUUAAUGUUUGAUGUUCUAACGUGGACCCGUAAUCCGGGUUGCGGACAGUGUCUGGUGGGUAGUUUGACUGGGGCGGUCUCCUCCUAAAGAGUAACGGAGGAGCACGAAGGUUGGCUAAUCCUGGUCGGACAUCAGGAGGUUAGUGCAAUGGCAUAAGCCAGCUUGACUGCGAGCGUGACGGCGCGAGCAGGUGCGAAAGCAGGUCAUAGUGAUCCGGUGGUUCUGAAUGGAAGGGCCAUCGCUCAACGGAUAAAAGGUACUCCGGGGAUAACAGGCUGAUACCGCCCAAGAGUUCAUAUCGACGGCGGUGUUUGGCACCUCGAUGUCGGCUCAUCACAUCCUGGGGCUGAAGUAGGUCCCAAGGGUAUGGCUGUUCGCCAUUUAAAGUGGUACGCGAGCUGGGUUUAGAACGUCGUGAGACAGUUCGGUCCCUAUCUGCCGUGGGCGCUGGAAGACUGAGGGGGGCUGCUCCUAGUACGAGAGGACCGGAGUGGACGCAUCACUGGUGUUCGGGUUGUCAUGCCAAUGGCACUGCCCGGUAGCUAAAUGCGGAAAAGAUAAGUGCUGAAAGCAUCUAAGCACGAAACUUGCCCCGAGAUGAGUCUUCCCUGAGACUUUGAGUCUCCUGAAGGAACGUUAAAGACGAUGACGUUGAUAGGCCGGGUGUGUAAGCGCAGCGAUGCGUUGAGCUAACCGGUACUAAUGAACCGUGAGGCUUAACCUUACAACGCCGAAGCUGUU